CAGCAGCCACGGUAAUACGUAGGUGGCAAGCGUUGUCCGGAAUUAUUGGGCGUAAAGGGCUCGCAGGCGGUUUCUUAAGUCUGAUGUGAAAGCCCCCGGCUCAACCGGGGAGGGUCAUUGGAAACUGGGAAACUUGAGUGCAGAAGAGGAGAGUGGAAUUCCACGUGUAGCGGUGAAAUGCGUAGAGAUGUGGAGGAACACCAGUGGCGAAGGCGACUCCCUGGUCUGUAACUGACGCUGAGGAGCGAAAGCGUGGGGAGCGAACAGGAUUAGAUACCCCCGUAGUCCCUGUCUCUUAUAC
rnacentral:rRNA from 1 species